CCUGAUGCUCUGAAAGGACCAAUAAUUGUAACCAGCGCUGUGAGCCUGGCUACUGCUGCUGUGACAGCUGUGACACUGUGCAGGGAUGGAAGAAGCUCAUCGCAAUUGCAAACACUGCUAGGAGUGCUGCUGAACCCCCGGUGCUCCCACUGGCACACGAAGACAUCCCCACUGCACUUAGCAGAGACACUGUUAUAUCCACACCACACUUAGAGUCACAAUUACUUACAGUAAUAACACUUAAAGCAAUAGCGUGUCUUUGCUGUUUCUAUUUCCACAGAGACAAACCUCGCAAGGAUCUAAUCAAAGAGCCUGGAUAAAUGUGGAAUGAAAUCAGAGCCAAAUCUUUGUAGCAGUCUUCCCCUCGGCAUCCCGAGACGUGCAGACUGAAGGUGAGAACCAGUUGGGCUCUAGGAAAUGUCUGGGCAGACUUCGGAGCCGAGUCGAAGAGUCACAGCACGCAGAUGAAAGGGCUCCCUCUACACCUCGGGUCAGAACUGAAAAGACUGGGCUCCCAAAGAAGCUGGUUCUCUGUAUAGAUGUUCUUAUCUGGGGUGGAGGAAGGACUGAGAAUACAUGGAUGAAGAGAGUGAGGAGAAGAAGCUGGAACUUCUCCUGGCAGCAGGCAGGGAGACAAACCCCAGCUGUGCUUGCAGCACACUUUGAUGUAUUUGUAAGGCGUUGAGAUAGCACAGUCACUUCCAAAUGUGUUCACUCACAGUGGUAGUCCAGCCAGCUGGUGUGUCUGUGUUCCAAGCUGGGAAAGAUCCCUGGUCAGCAAAAUAAGAUGGUACUGGAAUUGGGGCUGUGAAGAAGCCUGGCUGCCUGUCUCUGCUACAGCUA
rnacentral:lncRNA from 1 species